rnacentral:rRNA from 1 species
CAGCAGCCGCGGUAAGACGGAGGGUGCAAGCGUUGCUCGGAAUCAUUGGGCGUAAAGGGUGCGUAGGUGGCUUUUUAAGUCUGACGUGAAAGCCCAGGGCUCAGCCUUGGAAGUGCGUCAGAAACUGGGAGGCUAGAGUGCCGGAGGGGAGAGUGGAAUUCCUGGUGUAGCGGUGAAAUGCGUAGAUAUCAGGAGGAAUACCGGUGGCGAAAGCGACUCUCUGGACGGCAACUGACACUGAGGCACGAAAGCGUGGGGAGCAAACAGGAUUAGAUACCCCAGUAGUCCCUGUCUCUUAUAC